ensembl:lncRNA
CAUACAUGAAAUAGUUCUGAAAAAAUAUUUAUGUCUGUGGAUGUUGAAUUCAGUCAUAUGAGAGAGUUUCUUCUUCAAUAAGAAUUUUCAAAAACAUCUCCUACUGUUGUGACCCAGUCCUCUGUGGUGGUUUUCUGAUGGACCAUGACUUGCUCUUGGAUUCUGCUGACUGGGUGAGGUUGAAUACGUGCAAUCUUGAGUAAUACCUAUGUAAGGAACAACGGUUGGCUUUCUCCUCUUCAUUUUGUGCUCACAAAGACUGAAGUAUUUCAGCAUACUGAUGGACAAUGGACUGCCAGUGCAGACAGACAUCCAAAUUCAUCUUGGAAGAGUCAAGUUCUUAACUGUAGCAAAAAUAGCAAUUAUUUAUGGAGCAGCAUUAUAAUAGGCAUUAUGAAUUUGCAGAAGUCUUCACUGCACACAAAAUAUCAUUUUACUUGUACUAGAAAUUUCAUUUUUUUACAUUUUCUAGGUAGUUUGUUGUCUUCUUCAAACAGAGGCUGGUUUUCCUAGACAGGAGAAGGUAUUUUGCUGUG